rnacentral:lncRNA from 1 species
CAUGCCAGAACUGACUUUGCAUUCAGAAAGAUAUAUGUGACUUCCCUGAAUGCUUAAGAAAUUAAAGUCUUAAUCUGUGGAACUGUUUUCUAAUUGCCAAAUAAUUGCUGUAAGAAUUUUAGCAAUAUAUUUAAAACUGGUUUAAAAAUGGUUUUGGGUUAACAUCAAAAUGAACAUAUAAAAUUUAAAAAUUCUCAUAAACCCUACAGACUCUGUUGGAGAAACAUUUUAUGAAAAACAAUUAUAUUAAAUGCAUACUGGGGAAUUUCUUAAAAUCCAUAUUAAUAUUUU